rnacentral:rRNA from 1 species
AGUGAACGCUGGCGGUAGGCCUAACACAUGCAAGUCGAACGGCAGCACAGUAAGAGCUUGCUCUUACGGGUGGCGAGUGGCGGACGGGUGAGGAAUACAUCGGAAUCUACUUUUUCGUGGGGGAUAACGUAGGGAAACUUACGCUAAUACCGCAUACGACCUACGGGUGGAAGCAGGGGAUCUUCGGACCUUGCGCGAUUGAAUGAGCCGAUGUCGGAUUAGCUAGUUGGCGGGGUAAAGGCCCACCAAGGCGACGAUCCGUAGCUGGUCUGAGAGGAUGAUCAGCCACACUGGAACUGAGACACGGUCCAGACUCCUACGGGAGGCAGCAGUGGGGAAUAUUGGACAAUGGGCGCAAGCCUGAUCCAGCCAUACCGCGUGGGUGAAGAAGGCCUUCGGGUUGUAAAGCCCUUUUGUUGGGAAAGAAAAGCAGCAGGUUAAUACCCCGCUGUUCUGACGGUACCCAAAGAAUAAGCACCGGCUAACUUC